GCCACGGUGGUCUAGCGGUUAGAACGCUGGCCUUGUAAUCCUGGGGUCUCGGGUUCGAUUCCCGGUGGUGCCC
rfam:Zootermopsis nevadensis contig21605, whole genome shotgun sequence.